rnacentral:rRNA from 1 species
UACGAGGGGUGCAAGCGUUGCUCGGAAUUAUUGGGCGUAAAGGGUAGGUAGGUGGUCUCAUUUGUCUGGGGUGAAAGCCUUGAGCUUAACUCAAGAAGUGCCCCGGAAACGGUGAGACUGGAGUCCUGGAGAGGGUCGUGGAAUUCCCGGUGUAGCGGUGAAAUGCGUAGAUACUGGGAGGAACACCAGUGGCGAAGGCGGCUACCUGGACCGGUUCUGACGCUGAGGCGCGAAAGCGUGGGUAGCAAACAGG